rnacentral:lncRNA from 1 species
AUUGGAUUCUUACCCUGAUGUCAAAAAUUUCACUUCCGGCCCAAAAUUCCAAAAAAUUGACUUUCUCCAUUUCAAGCCUAAAUAAGCUACGGACCUCCAAAAUACAAUCUGGGUACGCCCCUAAGCCCAAAAUCACCCCAUGGAGCUAAAAGAAUUGACAGAACUCUAUUCCCAAGUUGUAUUCUUACUAUUUCGACUACAGUCUGAAUUCCAAGACUUAAGCUCUCAUUUAGGGACUAAGUAUCCCAAAGCACUUCGAAACUCGA